rnacentral:rRNA from 1 species
AAGCGUUGCCAACCCGCGAGUGGGAGCUAAUCGCAAAAAAGUCGGCUCAGUUCAGAUUGGAGUCUGCAAUUCGACUCCAUGAAGUCGGAAUCGCUAGUAAUGGCGGAUCAGCUACGCCGCCGUGAAUACGUUCCCGGGCCUUGUACACACCGCCCGUCAAGCGAUGGGAGCUGGUAGUACCUGAAGUCUCUAAUUCAUUAGGGCCUAGGGUAAGACUGGUGACUGGCGCUAAGUCGUAACAAGGUAGCCGUACCGGAAGGUGCGGCUGGAUCACCUCCUUU